rnacentral:rRNA from 1 species
UGGGGAAUCUUGGACAAUGGGCGAAAGCCUGAUCCAGCAAUGCCGCGUGCGUGAAGAAGGCCUUCGGGUUGUAAAGCGCUUUUGUCUGGGAGCAAAUCCUGGCCUCUAAUACAGGUCGGGGAUGAGAGUACCAGAAGAAUAAGGACCGGCUAACUACGUGCCAGCAGCCGCGGUAAUACGUAGGGUCCAAGCGUUAAUCGGAAUUACUGGGCGUAAAGCGUCCGCAGGUGGCUUGAUAAGAUAGAGGUGAAAUCCCUGGGCUCAACCUAGGAAUUGCCUUUAUGACUGUCUCGCUAGAGUAUGGGAGAGGGGGGUGGAAUUCCACGUGUAGCAGUGAAAUGCGUAGAGAUGUGGAGGAACACCGAUGGCGAAGGCAACCCCCUGGCCUAAUACUGACACU